rnacentral:tRNA from 1 species
AGGAUUUUAGUUUAUCAAAACAUUUGAUUUGCAAUCAAAAAAUAUUAAUAAUUUAAUUUAUCUUA